AUACGUAGGUGACAAGCGUUAUCCGGAUUUACUGGGCGUAAAGGGCGUGUAGGCGGUCUUGCAAGUCAGAAGUGAAAUUCCUGAGCUCAACUCGGGCGCUGCUUCUGAAACUGCAGGACUUGAGUGCUGGAGGGGAUAGCGGAAUUCCUAGUGGAGCGGUAAAAUGCGCAGAUAUUAGGAAGAACACCGGUGGCGAAGGCGGCUAACUGGACAGUAACUGACGCUGUGGCGCGAAAGCGUGGGGACCAAACAGGAUUAGAUACCCUGGAAGUCCACGCCGUAAACGAUGGAUACUAGGUGUAGGAGGUAUCGACCCCUUCUGUGCCGGAGUUAACACAAUAAGUAUUCCGCCUGGGGAGUACGGCCGCAAGGUUGAAACUCAAAGGAAUUGACGGGG
rnacentral:rRNA from 1 species